rnacentral:tRNA from 1 species
GUCUUAUAUUCAAAAAUGAUUUUAAAUUGCAAAUUUAAAGGAGGUGUAUACCUAAGGCUUA